rnacentral:miRNA from 14 species
GGUUUUUGUGGAACAACUCACA